ACGGAGGGUGCAAGCGUUGUUCGGAAUUACUGGGCGUAAAGCGCGUGUAGGCGGUCGCUUAAGUCUGAUGUGAAAGCCCGGGGCUCACCCCCGGAAGAGCAUUGGAAACUGGGCGACUAGAGUGCCGGAGAGGAGGGUGGAAUUCCUGGUGUAGCGGUGAAAUGCGUAGAUAUCAGGAGGAACACCGGUGGCGAAGGCGGCCCUCUGGACGGAUACUGACGCUGAGACGCGAAAGCGUGGGGAGCAAACAGGAUUAGAUACCCUGGUAGUCCACGCUGUAAACGAUGGGCACUAGGUGUUCGGGGUAUUGACCCCCCGGGUGCCGCAGCUAACGCAUUAAGUGCCCCGCCUGGGGACUACGGCCGCAAGGUUA
rnacentral:rRNA from 1 species